rnacentral:rRNA from 1 species
UACAGAGGGGGCAAGCGUUGUCCGGAAUUAUUGGGCGUAAAGAGCUUGUAGGCGGUCUGUCGCGUCUGCUGUGAAAAUCCGGGGCUCAACCCCGGACUUGCAGUGGGUACGGGCAGACUAGAGUGUGGUAGGGGAGACUGGAAUUCCUGGUGUAGCGGUGAAAUGCGCAGAUAUCAGGAGGAACACCGAUGGCGAAGGCAGGUCUCUGGGCCACUACUGACGCUGAGAAGCGAAAGCAUGGGGAGCGAACAGG